rnacentral:rRNA from 1 species
UCGAAAGAAAGAUUAAUACCCGAUGGCAUAGUUCUUCCGCAUGGUGGAACUAUUAAAGAAUUUCGGUCAUCGAUGGGGAUGCGUUCCAUUAGGUUGUUGGCGGGGUAACGGCCCACCAAGCCUUCGAUGGAUAGGGGUUCUGAGAGGAAGGUCCCCCACAUUGGAACUGAGACACGGUCCAAACUCCUACGGGAGGCAGCAGUGAGGAAUAUUGGUCAAUGGACGAGAGUCUGAACCAGCCAAGUAGCGUGAAGGAUGACUGCCCUAUGGGUUGUAAACUUCUUUUAUACGGGAAUAAAGUGAGGCACGCGUGCCUUUUUGUAUGUACCGUAUGAAUAAGGAUCGGCUAACUCCGUGCCAGCAGCCGCGGUAAUACGGAGGAUCCGAGCGUUAUCCGGAUUUAUUGGGUUUAAAGGGAGCGUAGGCGGACGCUUAAGUCAGUUGUGAAAGUUUGCGGCUCAACCGUAAAAUUGCAGUUGAUACUGGGUGUCUUGAGUACAGUAGAGGCAGGCGGAAUUCGUGGUGUAGCGGUGAAAUGCUUAGAUAUCACGAAGAACUCCGAUUGCGAAGGCAGCUU